rnacentral:rRNA from 1 species
UUGAACGCUGGCGGCAUGCCUUACACAUGCAAGUCGAACGGCAGCACGGGGGCAACCCUGGUGGCGAGUGGCGAACGGGUGAGUAAUACAUCGGAACGUGCCCUGAAGUGGGGGAUAACGUAGCGAAAGUUACGCUAAUACCGCAUAUUCUGUGAGCAGGAAAGCAGGGGAUCGCAAGACCUUGCGCUUUAGGAGCGGCCGAUGUCGGAUUAGCUAGUUGGUGAGGUAAAGGCUCACCAAGGCGACGAUCCGUAGCGGGUCUGAGAGGAUGAUCCGCCACACUGGGACUGAGACACGGCCCAGACUCCUACGGGAGGCAGCAGGGGGGAAUUUUGGACAAUGGGGGAAACCCUGAUCCAGCCAUGCCGCGUGCAGGAUGAAGGCCUUCGGGUUGUAAACUGCUUUUGUACGGAACGAAAAGAUCUCUUCUAAUAAAGGGGAUUCAUGACGGUACCGUAAGAAUAAGCACCGGCUAACUACGU